rnacentral:lncRNA from 1 species
GCCACCACAAACAUCCACUUCACUUCAAGAGAAUCUAAAAGCUCUUGAGUUGGACCCCGACCCCACCACCUUUUGCCUGUGCCCCCCACCAUCCCUGAUGCUGUGUUUUAAGACCAAAGCCAGGGUAAAGGGUAUACUCCCCCCUCCUUGUCCCUUGCUCUCUCUCUCUCUUUCUCUGUCUCUGCCCAUCUCCCAGCCCGCACCAGUGCUUGCAAAAAAUGGGCAGACCUUCGGGCGGUCUUGUCCCCCUCAAACCCUUCCAUUAUUGGGGACGGAUGAGCACUCGGCUUUUGAGUGAUGAUGAAGUCUCAGAGAGAUGAGAGAGAGGACCAUUCUCCUAGCGAAAGGCUUUGGCCCC